GAUGAACGCUGGCGGCGUGCCUAAUACAUGCAAGUCGAGCGAACGGACGAGAAGCUUGCUUCUCUGAUGUUAGCGGCGGACGGGUGAGUAACACGUGGAUAACCUACCUAUAAGACUGGGAUAACUUCGGGAAACCGGAGCUAAUACCGGAUAAUAUUUUGAACCGCAUGGUUCAAAAGUGAAAGACGGUCUUGCUGUCACUUAUAGAUGGAUCCGCGCUGCAUUAGCUAGUUGGUAAGGUAACGGCUUACCAAGGCAACGAUGCAUAGCCGACCUGAGAGGGUGAUCGGCCACACUGGAACUGAGACACGGUCCAGACUCCUACGGGAGGCAGCAGUAGGGAAUCUUCCGCAAUGGGCGAAAGCCUGACGGAGCAACGCCGCGUGAGUGAUGAAGGUCUUCGGAUCGUAAAACUCUGUUAUUAGGGAAGAACAUAUGUGUAAGUAACUGUGCACAUCUUGACGGUACCUAAUCAGAAAGCCACGGCUAACUACGUGCCAGCAGCCGCGGUAAUACGUAGGUGGCAAGCGUUAUCCGGAAUUAUUGGGCGUAAAGCGCGCGUAGGCGGUUUUUUAAGUCUGAUGUGAAAGCCCACGGCUCAACCGUGGAGGGUCAUUGGAAACUGGAAAACUUGAGUGCAGAAGAGGAAAGUGGAAUUCCAUGUGUAGCGGUGAAAUGCGCAGAGAUAUGGAGGAACACCAGUGGCGAAGGCGACUUUCUGGUCUGUAACUGACGCUGAUGUGCGAAAGCGUGGGGAUCAAACAGGAUUAGAUACCCUGGUAGUCCACGCCGUAAACGAUGAGUGCUAAGUGUUAGGGGGUUUCCGCCCCUUAGUGCUGCAGCUAACGCAUUAAGCACUCCGCCUGGGGAGUACGACCGCAAGGUUGAAACUCAAAGGAAUUGGCGGGGACCCGCACAAGCGGUGGAGCAUGUGGUUUAAUUCGAAGCAACGCGAAGAACCUUACCAAAUCUUGACAUCCUUUGACAACUCUAGAGAUAGAGCCUUCCCCUUCGGGGGACAAAGUGACAGGUGGUGCAUGGUUGUCGUCAGCUCGUGUCGUGAGAUGUUGGGUUAAGUCCCGCAACGAGCGCAACCCUUAAGCUUAGUUGCCAUCAUUAAGUUGGGCACUCUAAGAUGACUGCCGGCGACAAACCGGAGGAAGGUGGGGAUGACGUCAAAUCAUCAUGCCCCUUAUGAUUUGGGCUACACACGUGCUACAAUGGACAAUACAAAGGGCAGCGAAACCGCGAGGUCAAGCAAAUCCCAUAAAGUUGUUCUCAGUUCGGAUUGUAGUCUGCAACUCGACUACAUGAAGCUGGAAUCGCUAGUAAUCGUAGAUCAGCAUGCUACGGUGAAUACGUUCCCGGGUCU
rnacentral:rRNA from 1 species